rnacentral:tRNA from 1 species
GAGGGUAUAGCUCAGUGGUAGAGUGCAUGUGUAGCAUGCAUGAGGUCCUAGGGACAAUCCCCAGUACCUCCA